UACGUAGGGGGCUAGCGUUGUCCGGAUUUAUUGGGCGUAAAGAGCGUGUAGGCGGCCAGGUAGGUCCGGUGUGAAAACUCGAGGCUUAACCUCGAGAUGUCAUCGGAAACCAUCUGGCUAGAGUCCGGAAGGGGAAAGUGGAAUUCCUGGUGUAGCGGUGAAAUGCGCAGAUAUCAGGAAGAACACCAAUGGCGAAAGCAGCUUUCUGGGACGGUACUGACGCUGAGACGCGAAAGCGUGGGGAGCGAACAGG
rnacentral:rRNA from 1 species